UCCAUUUCCCAUAGCAUAACGGAGUUUAGGAAGCUUAACCUCCCACAUUUUGAAGGUGGCCCUAACCCCUUAAUAGUCAAAGUCUUGAUCCUACAGAUAGAAAAGCUUUUCUCUAUCUUAGACCUAAAUGAGGAAUAGAAAGUUUCCCUAGCAGCCAUUAUGCUAAACGCGAACCAAAACACUAAUGGUGACUUAAGAAGGAAGUCCUACCUACCCCUACCACCUGAGAAGUUUUUAUGGAUGCAUUAUUUGAUAAC
rnacentral:lncRNA from 1 species